AGUUUGAUCCUGGCUCAGAACGAACGCUUGCGGCGCGCCUAAUACAUGCAAGUCGAACGAGGUAGCAAUACCAAGUGGCGCACGGGUGAGUAACACGUGGAUAAUGUGCCAUUCAGUGGGGAAUAACCGACCGAAAGGUCAGCUAAUACCGCAUGAGACCACAGUCCCUGAGGGGACAGAGGUUAAAGAUUUAUCGCUGAAUGAUCAGUCUGCGUAAGAUUAGCUAGUUGGUGAGGUAACGGCUCACCAAGGCAACGAUCUUUAGGUGGUCUGAGAGGAUGACCACCCACACUGGAACUGGGACACGGUCCAGACUCCUACGGGAGGCAGCAGUAGGGAAUAUUGCACAAUGGGGGAAACCCUGAUGCAGCGACGCCGCGUGAGUGAUGAAGGCCUUCGGUCGUAAAGCUCUGUUGUACGGGAAGAAAAAAAUGACGGUACCGUAUAAGAAAGGAUCGGCUAACUUCGUGCCAGCAGCCGCGGUAAGACGAGGGAUCCUAGCGUUGUUCGGAAUCAUUGGGCGUAAAGAGUAUGUAGGCGGCCUAGUAAGUCAGUUGUGAAAGCCCCGGGCUCAACCCGGGAAGUGCAAUUGAUACUGCUUGGCUUGAAUGUGGAAGAGGGCAGUAGAAUUCCAGGUGUAGUGGUGAAAUACGUAGAUAUCCGGAGGAAUACCGGUGGCGAAGGCGGCUGCCUGGUCCUACAUUGACGCUGAGAUACGAAAGCGUGGGGAGCAAACAGGAUUAGAUACCCUGGUAGUCCACGCUGUAAACGAUGAACACUUGUUGUUGGAGGUAUUGACCCCUUUCAGUGACGAAGCUAACGCGUUAAGUGUUCCGCCUGGGGAGUACGGUCGCAAGAUUAAAACUCAAAGAAAUUGACGGGGGCCCGCACAAG
rnacentral:rRNA from 1 species